UGCCUUUGUCUUCAGUGUAACGCAUCAGACUCUGAGAGUAUCAGUGCAGCCUAAAGGUUCAUUUUUCAGGAGGUUUUGCUGCUGCAUACCCUGAACAUUCAUUCCGCUGUGGGCAACUUUCCCUGUACAUGCACUGAUUCACUCCUAGAAUACAUCUGUGAAUAUAAUUGAGCCCUAAGUUUGGAUAUUAAGAAUCUCAUGCAUUUUUUAGGAACACAUAUAAUUUUAAUACUGGAUUCAAGCCUCUUAGGGCUGUCUUAAAAUAAACCUUACAGCCUGACAUGGGUAACUCUUGAUUAUUGAUGUGUAGACAGCAAAAAGCCCUUUGCCACUAGCAAAUUAUAUCACAUGCAGCAUGUUAGCUACUGAUUGCCAGAAAAUCCUAAUUCUUGUAGGUGAAACUAUGGUGUAAGACCUUUGGCACUCAAACCUCCUCCUUUCCUCUAGUUUAGGGAACGGUGAGUUCUCAGUUACAGGGAGUGGGAAGGUGAUGUCAUUGAAAAACUAUUGCCCUGCUUUGAUACUAGUAAACGUGCUCAAAGUUCUCUGGGGACCUCUAAGGGCUGAAAAAUUCUCCCUACCACAGUUGCUGUGGGAUAGAGCACAUACAAUGUGAAAGAAAUAGAGUGAAAGGUCCUGGCAAGGCGCCCAUCCUACUUCUCGGAUAAAGGUCCAAUCUGUAGCACCACUGAAACAAGUAAUGUUCAGCAGAGGCCACCAGCAAGCAUAGUCCCUGGCGAUGUCACCAGUGACAUGUCUCAGAACUGUCACCUGCUUGCCUGCAGCCCUGAGUGCAGCCUGGGAUCGCUGGAGUACUUCAUCCGGCAGGAUUGCAAGGUGCCUUGGCUCUACAAAGAAGAAGAGCAGGUUUCAGAAGAUAUGAAAGGAAGCUGCAAAGAAUUGUGGACUUACUGAUAAUGGAUUUCCUACAUUCAGUAGUGUCAACAUCUUUGUUCAGAAUGUACUAUGAAAUAUAGGACAGAAUAAGACCUUCACAGAGGCAGACCUGACAUAUUGUCUGCAAGUUGAGAGUCAGAGGUUGAUGACUGCUGGAAUCAAGCACUGAUUCGACAGAUCACAGAUCAAUAGCUUCCAGCAGAGGAGCAGCUCUUGAGCACUGAUAUGUGCCAGUGGAUUUUCUCUGAUGAAUGGCUUCUAAGCAUCCAAAGCUUCACUAAAUGGAUCUAAAGUGGGGAACAGGCCUGAGGAAUCUGAAGGGUUUUCUAACAGAUAAAUCACUACACAUUUAUAUAAAAUGAAAUUAAUAAAAUAAAAUAACAAAAUAAAAUAAAAUAAAAUAAAAUAAAAUAAAAUAAAAUAAAAAUUUCACUCAAGAUGCUCAAAAGACAGAGGAUUCAUCCUAACAGUGUUCACGUUCAACUGCCUGGAGGCAAAUUAGCUUGUGUUUGAAAAUUAAAGGUAAUUAUUGCCAAUUAAAUAAAAGCUUUCAUCUCAAAUGGGUAGAAAAAUAUAAAGUCAGACUUUGGUGGUGUAGUUUCAGUUUCUAUUAUUUCAUUUUCCCAUUUCACUACAGUUGCUAUGUCAGCAUAACUACCCUAUGGUGAUGUGAAGAUAUGGAAUAGAAACUUGGAACAUAUUUAUAAAAGAUUUGUGGGUUUUAACUACUUUAGUAAUUUUUAUUUAGACAGUAGCAUGAAACUGCUUUAUGUGAGGCUUUCACAAUGGUAAAUGUUUUUAAUCACAGAAAUAUAUUUUUACACUGGUUAGUCUCUGAUGUUAUGAAUAGUUUUCCACCACUUUCUUAAGACAAUUAUUUCAUAGCCUAAAAUUUUAAUUAGAAUUUUUUGUCAUUUCUUAUUUACUUUACUUGCUGACUGCUACUGGAAACAAGGAUGUGGUCAUUAAGGAGGGAGGGGGAGGCACCACAAAAUUUAGAAAUCUGCAGCAUAAAUGUCUGUAGCUGAGUGGGUGAAUGAGCUCCCUUUAAAGUCAAUGGAGAGGCAGAGGUAUUUUUAUAAUGUAUUACCUCCAAUGUAUUUUUGAUGUUAGUUUCAGGAAAAGAGGUGUGGCAUCUUAUGCUCUACUGACUGUGUUUACUAGAUAUCUAUUGGCUCCAUUAAGCCUGGGAAACUGGACUCCGCAUCCUGAACUGUAGAAGUCUAAUGAGUCUUAUCAAGAAAAGUACAUGCAAAUCACAGAGAUGAUGAGAACAAUCUGCAAGGAUAUUAUGUGAUACUAAUUUGCAAAUUAUAUAAGCCGAUGAUUAGGCCAUUUGGCUGUUCAAGACUGCUGGCCGGUGAGGAAGAAAGGACAAUAUAUACUUUGCACAGCUGGAGCAAAAUGCUUAUGUGGAUGCUGGGGUGAUCAGUAGAGAUGAAAAUUAUGUAAACCAUGAUGCAGGUAAUUCUUCAUAACAGGCAAGCUUUCUGAGACCUCUGUGUUAUGUGAGAUAAUAAGCAGGUAUUUGCUGGCAGGGAAAAUUAACUGAAUUGAGGACUUAUGGGAAAAAAAAAAUCAUUUGGAAAACAGAAAAUAUGGGUUGAAAUAUUGAAAGCAAAUGUUAAAACAAGUUGAAAUGGAGAAAAACACACUGAAAAUAAGACAAUGUAAAGUGAACUAAGAUGUUAUUGCCCUUGGAAUAUUCAGAUGAAAUUAAAUUACCAUCAGACUGGACAGUCCAGGAUAGUCCUUACAUGAGAGAUAUAUCAAAUGGCUUGAAAACUAGAUAUUUUUCUCAGUUUUCAGAAUAUUUUUUUCCAUUUUAAACUUAUAGGUCCAUUGAUUGUACCCAAGACCAAGACAAUAUUCUGUGGAGUUUAUACAGUAGAUUAUCUUCAUAGUAAAUGGUUAUUUCUCUUUCUCUACCCUUGUUUGAUAGUUGCUCUGUGAUUAUUUCAUUUGUUUUUUCUGCCUUCAGCUACAUGUCUAUAAUUAGAGCAAAGAUCAUUCAGGAAUGUGCUUGUUGGAAGUCAUCACAGGCACAUCACCACAGCUUAAAAGUGACAGCUUGAUCCAUAAAUCAAUGACUACCAAACAGGACAUCUCAGCCAGUCAUUCAUAAAUGGGUGAGGCAUUCCACUGAGUUGCUUUUUGAUACAUUAACACUAGCUUUUGCUUUAACAAUAGCAGAAAUACUAUUGCAAUCCGUUAUAUCAAUAGAGUUAAAACUGCAGGUGGCCUGGAGAACCCAUUUUCAAGACUUCAUUGGAUUGGUCACUCUGUAGUUCAUGUUUGUUUCUUCAUUAUGAAGAAAUACACACAGUCACACAGUUACAACUGACCUUGAAUUAAAAAAAAAAAAAAAAAAAAAAA